rnacentral:rRNA from 1 species
CACUAUCGUUAACUGAAUACAUAGGUUAACGAGGCGAACCGGGGGAACUGAAACAUCUAAGUACCCCGAGGAAAAGAAAUCAACCGAGAUUCCCCCAGUAGCGGCGAGCGAACGGGGAGCAGCCCAGAGUCUGAAUCAGCUUGUGUGUUAGUGGAACGGUCUGGAAAGUCCGACGGUACAGGGUGAUAGUCCCGUACACCAAAAUGCACAGGUUGUGAACUCGAAGAGUAGGGCGGGACACGUGGUAUCCUGUCUGAAUAUGGGGG